CGCUAGCAUCAAUUAUUUUACUGCAAACGUCCGUGUCCGAAGGUAUGUAAAAUUUUUGGUGCCAUUUCACGGUUUAGUUUAGUUUUUCGAUAGUACAAAUGUUAACGUUUCACAGUUGAAUCGGUUUUUCGACUGUACAAAUGUUAACAUAUUUCCCACGUUGGACGAAAUUAUCCAGAAACGCGUGAGGUACGGUAGUUGUUUGCCGGUAAUGAAUACGAGAGUCGGGCUGUCUUCGAAUCUUUACGUUUGCAUCGUGUCGAUAGUUGAUAUUUCCGGUCCAAAUAUCGUGCCAUUUGUGAGUGUGCCUAUACCCACGAACGAGUGACGCUCAACAUUCAAUUCCUUUCCAAGCUUACAUUGCUUGUAGGGUUGCUACUUCCGGUCCGAACAUCGUACCAUUUGUGCAUAUGCCGGUGAUGUGUGCCUAUACACACCACCAGUGACGCUCAGCAUUCAAUUCUUUGAAACGCUUUCAUUGCUUCGAUGGUUGCUGCUGGCAGUCUGAAAAUUGUACCAUUUGCUGGUUUGUUUUUUCCUUGACGAGCGUUUCAUCGUGGUAGAAGGAACCAAACCAAACCAAAAGCGACAGCCAACUAUAAUAAAUACACAACGUUUGUGACUGUGACGAACACAAGAUGUCGUCUCCGGUUAGUCCGUCUGACUCCGACGAAUAUGAGGACGAAGAUGAGCAGCCUGCAGAUCUAAGCAACUCUUUCGAAUUCUCGAGUAGCGAAGCAGCGAAUUCUCCAGAUGACAACGAAACUAGCUGCAGCGAAGCGGACCGGUCGUUUGUCGGUAAAAUUCGCGACAACGUCACAAAUCUGUUUUCAAAGUUGAUACGCAAUGCCAAGGACAAGUUUGGGGUAUCUAAUCAAAAGCGAUCUAAUGAGUGCAUAGGUUCUGGGGUACAGCCGGCGAAGCGACGCCGACUGUAUGACAAUGAAGAAGAUUCUUACUUACUGCAUGAUCGUUCUGGUGUUCGUCCGUCCGACAGCACUCGUAUUGAUCAGGCAAGUCAGACGAAUCAUCCCUAUGUACAUACGGCAGGUACUUACAAUCACAAACCCCCGGAUUGCGUUCAGUCUGUGUUCGAGCGUGGAUCGGCGGGCACAGGGCAGGGUGAAUCGAGCGUGUUUUUACCGUCCAUAUCGCACCAUUCCAUGCAACACGAUGAACUUGUGGAGCAACAGGUAGAAGGGGAUGAUGAUGCGGUAGAUGAGCUGGAUCAGAAUGAGGGAAAUCAGUUGCGGAUUGUUACCGAGCAACAUGAAUUAUACAAUUUCGAACCGUUCGAUCCAUUUAAGUAUCUAGCAAAGAUAGAUAAUACGCCCGUCGAUCCGAAGCGGCGUAUAACUACAUUCCUGGGCAACCGAUGUUACCGGAAGCGACAGCAGCGGCUGCGCCGUGGGGUAAUAGGGCGACUCUUCUUUGUUUCACAUCACAAACCAACCAAAAACCUCGACACUUCCCGCAAUGAAACGUACGCUUCCUCCCAUCGGCCAGCCUUCAAUAUGGCUACGUAUCGUGCCUCAUGUGAUAAGCGGAUUCCGCCAGAGCUUGGAGGGUCACCAUUUUACAACGGGUUUACGCGGUACGGUGGUGCGUCUGCGGCAAAUACCUUGCGUAACCGCUUUACCGUGACACCUUCCUCGCCGGAUCAAGAUAGAAGCGUUCUGAUUAGAAACUUAAAAUCCAACAGUAAAAAGAGAAGAUCAAGCAAUGAAUCGAAUGCGCCCACAGUGUCAUCCGCCGCACAGCGUAUGUUGGAUAUAUUGGAUGAGUAUGAUGUAGCAAAAAAGAAUGGAAAGAAUGUACUUGAUUUGGCCGAUAAUAAGAAUAUCGAACAGGAACUGAACGAAUUGAUCAAUCGUCCACUCAUGUCGUCGUGUUCUGCUCCCGUACCGCAAAUGUUGCAGCUAUUGCGUCAGCAGAAGUUAGCUUCCAUCUUGUGCGAGCGAGAGGAAAGCACACCAUAUCCACCGAUUAAACCAUUAAAUAUUAUGCCAUUGGGUGGGUAUCACCACACCGGUACGUCAGAACGACGGAAUAAUGAAGCGUCCGCUGGAAAUCGUACAGCACCAACGGAAACACGCACGGACGUGGAACCGGUAAUGGAAAGUAAUGUCGAGUCGGAAGAAUUUGUACAGCGGACUGUUGUACAGCAUUUAGAGGAUGUCAUGCCAUCAACACCCGAUGUUAUCGAUCCACCAUCACCGGUCAUCAAAGAUAUAGUAGACGCAGACACAUUGUCUACAAAUAACGAGGAACAUGAACCGGCUCAAACGGUACAUACGGCUGUGAACGCCCCAACGGGGGAAAUGUUGUUUCAUUUUGCAGAUACUAUUGUGCUGGAUGAAAAUUACCAGAGAUCAGAAAAGAAUAUAGAAAAUAUGCAAACGUUCACGUUUGCCGAACCGCAAUGGCUCAACCACCAGAGCGAGCCGACAGUACCAGCAAACUCCUUCCAGCAAUUAAUUGCCGAAUCUGCCAAUAAGUGGGUAUGCGACGUGUGCAUGGUGCGCAACGAACCACACCUAUUGUCGUGCAUUGCUUGUGGGAAUGUUAAAACAUGCGAGAAAAUUGCUGCAAAAAGCAUCAGCGCAUCCAGCGUGACGAAAAGCGGGAACGAAAAUGGGAAGAAAAAUGAAGCGGUACCGGCUUCACCAUUUAGUAAUAUGCCUAACCUGAAGGAUACGUUCAAAUCGCUCGUCGAACAGCAAAAGACAAGCACGUGGUUAUGUGAUGGGUGUGAGGCACCGAAUUCGGUCGAGCUGGACCGUUGCCUUUGCUGCGAGCAAAUUAAACCAAACGUCACCGAAACGGUUCUGCCUAAUUUAGGUCCUAGCAGUAUGACACCAAAAGCUGAUCAGAAAUCAUUGCUACAACCGGCUGCAACUGGGUCCAGCAUCAGUACUACCACCGGUACAAUACAAGAACCCCAACCAUGUUCGUUCGUCAGCUUUAAAACUCAACCUACCGUCGGUUUACCAUCGCUAGGAAGCAACAUAUUCACGAACCCGCAAGCAAAUGUGCAGUUUACGUUUGGCAGCGGUGCUGGGUUCGGUACAGCAGCACUAUCUACUACCAGCAGUAUAUUUGGCGCGAGCACAACAGUGGCCGAACCCAAUCUGUUCGCAUCUGCAUUCGGUACCAAUCCAACUAAGGCCAAUGCCAACGACAAUACUGUAAGUUUUAGUACCUCUAGCAACCAUGAUGGCAUCUUCAACAUGUUUGACAUUGCUGAACAACCACCGGUGAACUUAUUAAGCUCGUCUCGCUCCAGCAGUGCGCCUCAAUCCAAACCCUCCAAACUCCAGUUUAGAGGAGUACCACAAACAACACCAAGCGUGUAAGUACAUGAGGCUCUGAAAGUUUAAAAGAGGCUCUGCUGCUGGAUGUUCCGUUCCGCUGCUUGUGCAACAGUGUAUGUUCUUAGGGUACCUUGCCCAAUCAAUCUACAAGAAAGACAUUGCACUAUGAAAAUAUUAUAAAAUUCAAUAAUAGUUACGUACCAUGAAAUGCACUGUUGCUGUGCAGGAUGCAGUGUGUGAAACGAGUGUUAUACACACUCGCCCUCGCUUACUGCAUUGGAACCUUUACUUCAUCAACUCACCCCAAAAUAUGGACGGAUCAAACCAUCACAUAUAAUAGCGGAAAAACGGAGGGUGUUGCGUCAAAAACCAAUCGAGGCAAUUCAUCCCGACCACCAGGCGUUUGAAGAUCCGGGGUGGCAUCAGGCGGUUGCAUCCCCGGCCAGCCCACCAAUAGGACCUGCCAUACUAUUCGGUUAUGCAUCAAAUCCGGAAAACCGUGACAACCCAGCUAUUGGUGCGAAUCCGGAGUAUCAAGAAAACCCAGGUCGUGGGGAAAAUCUGAAUCGUGUUCGUCGGGAAAACGUGGAACGUCCUGAAAACCCGGGUCGUCGUCGCAUUCGUGAGGACGCGAUUCUUAUUAGAAAUCAAGCUGAGCGUAGAAACCAGCGACGUGACCAUCUUGAAAACCUAGUAGUGCGUCGUGGAAUGCCGAGACAUCUUGAUAACUGGAUACGAUACGUCAACCACGAACGCCGACGUCAAAAUAACAUAAUACCUCCACCGCCACAAUAUCAACCGGCACAUGGAGCGCUCGCCCCUAUCGGAAUACCAUUUCCGCGCGUUCAGUUUAAUCCGACGCGCGAAGAACGAAUCAGACUUCAUGGCAACCGUGUUGCACGUGAUUGGUUGUUAGGUUUAGCACGCAAAUCACGAUUUAGCAACUAUCAAUCAACUAAGAUAUUACCUUUAUUUAAAUUACCGCUGUAUGACAAGCGUACGUUGAAGAGAAAGUCAUUGUUAUGAGUGAUAGAAAUUAUAUAGAUACAUUAUUAUAUGUACAUAAUUACAUUAAUUUAUGUAAACAAAUACAUUAUUAUGUAUAUAUAUAUAUACAUAAUUAAAUGUAAACAAAUGCAUUACUAUAUGUGAAUAAAUACAUAUACCACAAGCAUGAAUGGA